rnacentral:rRNA from 1 species
UACGAAGGGGGCUAGCGUUGCUCGGAAUGACUGGGCGUAAAGGGCGCGUAGGCGGUUUGUACAGUCAGGUGUGAAAUUCCCGGGCUCAACCUGGGGGCUGCACUUGAUACGUAUGGACUGGAGUGGGGAAGAGGGUCGUGGAAUUCCCAGUGUAGAGGUGAAAUGCGUAGAUAUCUGGAGGAAUACCGGUGGCGAAGGCGGCAUCCUGGACCGGCAUUGACGCUGAUGAGCGAAAGCUAGGGGAGCAAACGGG